UUGAAAGGGAAACGAUUGAAGUCAGUCGUGCUGGCGCGAAAUCAACCCUCUCGUCGAGAGGUCACAUGGCGUGGCGAGCCUCAAAACCGUCACGAAGCGUGAACUCUUGGCGAAAAGGAGCACUUUCGUGUCCGCUGGUUAACAUCAAUUUCGAACGUCAUAAAAAGGCUGGAGGGAUGUGGCUCCUUCGGGAGUGUUAUAACCUUUAGCGGAAUGUGGUGGUCGGGAUUGAGGAUUGCAACGAAUACCUUUAGGGCUGUUCCACCUGGCUUCUCUUUGGUAUCCUGGUGAAGACAGCUUGCUGACUUUGUUAGGAUUCGCCUUUGAACAGGCUAGAGUGUGAGCAAAUUCGUUAAGGAUGUUGACGUA
rnacentral:rRNA from 1 species